rnacentral:rRNA from 1 species
GACGAACGCUGGCGGCGUGCUUAACACAUGCAAGUCGAACGGAAAGGCCCUGCUUUUGUGGGGUGCUCGAGUGGCGAACGGGUGAGUAACACGUGAGUAACCUGCCCUUGACUUUGGGAUAACUUCAGGAAACUGGGGCUAAUACCGGAUAGGAGCUCCUGCUGCAUGGUGGGGGUUGGAAAGUUUCGGCGGUUGGGGAUGGACUCGCGGCUUAUCAGCUUGUUGGUGGGGUAGUGGCUUACCAAGGCUUUGACGGGUAGCCGGCCUGAGAGGGUGACCGGCCACAUUGGGACUGAGAUACGGCCCAGACUCCUACGGGAGGCAGCAGUGGGUAAUAUUGCACAAUGGGCGGAAGCCUGAUGCAGCAACGGCGCGUGCGGGAUGACGGCCUUCGGGUUGUAAACCGCUUUCGCCUGUGACGAAGCGUGAGUGACGGUAAUGGGUAAAGAAGCACCGGCUAACUACGUG